CGUACCUUUUGUAUAAUGGGUCAGCGACUUACAUUCAGUAGCAAGCUUAACCGAUAGGGGAGGCGUAGCGAAAGCGAGUCCGAAUAGGGCGUUUAGUUGCUGGGUGUAGACCCGAAACCAAGUGAUCUAUCCAUGGCCAGGUUGAAGGUGCCGUAACAGGUACUGGAGGACCGAACCCACUAAUGUUGAAAAAUUAGGGGAUGAGCUGUGGAUAGGGGUGAAAGGCUAAUCAAACUUGGAGAUAGCUGGUUCUCUCCGAAAACUAUUUAGGUAGUGCCUCGUAUAUCAUUCUCGGGGGUAGAGCACUGUUAUGGCUAGGGGGUUCAUACGGACUUACCAAACCAUUGCAAACUCCGAAUACCGAGAAAUGCAAUUACGGGAGACAGACUGCGGGUGCUAACGUCCGUAGUCAAGAGGGAAACAACCCAGACCGACAGCUAAGGUCCCAAAUGACGUGCUAAGUGGAAAACGAAGUGGGAAGGCACAGACAGCCAGGAGGUUGGCUUAGAAGCAGCCAUCCUUUAAAGAAAGCGUAAUAGCUCACUAGUCGAGUCGGCCUGCGCGGAAGAUGUAACGGGGCUCAAACUGGUUACCGAAGCUGCGGCUGUGCACGCAAGUGCACGGGGUAGGGGAGCGUUCUGUAAGCCUGCGAAGGUGUGUCGAGAGGCAUGCUGGAGGUAUCAGAAGUGCGAAUGCUGACAUGAGUAACGACAAUGGGGGUGAAAAACCCCCACGCCGGAAGACCAAGGGUUCCUGCGCAACGCUAAUCGGCGCAGGGUGAGUCGGCCCCUAAGGCGAGACCGAAAGGUGUAGUCGAUGGGAAACGGAUUAAUAUUUCCGUACCUUGGAUAGCUGCGAUGGAGAGACGGAGAAGGCUAGGUGAGCCGGGCGACGGUUGUCCCGGUUUAAGCAUGUAGGCAGUGGGAUUAGGCAAAUCCGGUCCCACAAUGCCGAGACGCGACGACGACUGCCCUUUUAGGGCGGGAAGUCAUUGAUGCCCUGCUUCCAGGAAAAUCUUCUAAGCUUCAGGCUAUUCGAGACCGUACCCCAAACCGACACAGGUGGUCAGGUAGAGAAUACCAAGGCGCUUGAGAGAACUCGGGUAAAGGAACUAGGCAAAAUGGUGCCGUAACUUCGGGAGAAGGCACGCCGGUGGUAUGUGACGCCCUUCGCGGGUUGAGCAGAAGCCGGUCGAAGAUACCAGGCCCCUGCGACUGUUUAUUAAAAACACAGCACUCUGCAAACACGAAAGUGGACGUAUAGGGUGUGACGCCUGCCCGGUGCCGGAAGGUUAAUUGAUGGGGUUAGCGCUUGCGCGAAGCUCUUGAUCGAAGCCCCGGUAAACGGCGGCCGUAACAAUAACGGUCCUAAGGUA
rnacentral:rRNA from 12 species